ensembl:lncRNA
GGAAGACUUGGAGAAAGGGCAAGAACAAUCAGAGACCGCCAGGAGGCAGGGUGUGGCGAGCUGUUUAUUUCUUGAAAGUAGAUCUCCCAAAUGGCUACCUGGCGAACACCUUGUGGAACAAAGCAAUGAAACUCGGCUAAAAUCUGACCAAGAGGUGGGCUUCCCACUUCAGGCAAAACCCCGGGUUCAGCGAGUCCUCCUCUGAUCUGGUCCAGUCCCCAGCCUUAGGAAAAGGCUUCCACGUUUUUGCCGACGUGCAAGAGUGCAGGCUAUGCCCUCCCGACUCGGUCCCUGGCUGGACUCUGAGGUAUUUGCUAAGAUGAGCUGGGGACCAGGAAGUGGGAAAAUGUCUUCACGUUGCUAAAAAUAAAACAACUGACCCCUCCUCCUCCUCCUCCCCACGGCUGCAGUCUCGGAGCCUGGCUGCCUGGGGAGGCGUCUGAACACGCAGGAGACGCCAGGGCUUCCAGAUGAAGGGUGGAUCACAGUGCCAACCAUGUGAAUCUCCCCGAGAUGGACUUCAGCACAUCUGGCCCAUCUGUAGUAUUUCCUUCAUCCAGGUGAUUUGUCUAGCCCCUGCCCAGAGUGGUAGAAAACUUUGUUCUAAUUGUGGAAGUGUUAAGAGUUCCAUGUUUCUGCCUCUUGCUCUGAGCCCCCACCCCGCCAACCCCAUCAUGGUUUAAGGAGCAGAUGCUCACGUGUGCUGGGAACAAGAAAGGGUCUUUUUCAUUGUGCAUUUGCCACCAAAGCAUCUUGAACGAGACAGUCCAUUUCUACCACUCAUGGCACCUGCCAAGGGUACUGGGCUAAGCACUCAUUACAAGGACCUAUUUCAUCCAGUCUUCAGAACAAUCCAUCAGAAUACUUCUCUUCUCACUUUCCAGAUAAGAACACAGGGGCUCUGAAAUGUUAAGAGGUUCACCUAACCUCACACACAGCUAGUAAACGAAGGGGUCUGAAUUCCAAGCCCAUCUAUCUGAUUCCAGUAUCCCACCCCACCCCCACCAUCCCACCAUCUCAUUUCCUAUCAAAACGUCUCCCUUUCCCCAGUGAGGAAGUUCCACAGGGUAAGAAAAGACAUAACACUUUGCUCUUGAGUCCACCAGAGUCUGGAUCCCCCAUUCUCUCCAGAGCAUUUAUUCCAGUUCUGGAAGAGACAAUAAGCAGUUGGCAUAUGGCUAGUAUACACGGUGCAUAAGGAGUUUGUUCACACCUCACUUCAGUCAUCCCUCCCACCAACCCCUUCAGGUGGGUAGCCACUAUCACUGCAUUUUAAAGAGACAGAAACAGGCUCGGUGAGGUUGAACUAUCAGGACGUGAUCACUGCCCAGCCAGUUCACACAGAACCCUGGGACUGGCCUGAGCUGGCUCAUUCCAAGCCUCCCAGCUCCACAGAUACCACAUAUGAGACCAUUUAACCAACAGAGUUAGGCCUUGCAUUCUGUUGUGAAAUUGCUAGGUUGUUUUCUCUUUGUUUUAAGUAUUUCUGCAAAUGUUAUUUUGGGAUUCAAAACUUUUUCUUAAUUUCUGCCCCUCUUACACACAUUCUUUCUCCAUGUACGUACCAAUCUGUAUCGCAGGACCAUCAAGGAAACAGAACAAGGAGUUGCCGCUAUCUGAGUUCAAAUGUUAGAGACCAUAGUGUACAGAUUUUAUCUACAAUUUUUGCUGUAUUAUUAUUUGUAUAUUUUGUUCAAUUACCAUUUGCUUUACUUGCAUCGAUCAAAUGUGUGAUCAAGAGUUUAAAGUUGCAUGUGUGUGUGUGUUUCCAUGACUUUAAUAGCAUUUUUAACUCUUGCUUAGACAAUGCUUUUCUUUGCUAAGAUUUAAGUUGGAGGUUGGAGAAAUCCUUUGAGCAAAUAAUUCCACAUCUAACGGGAUAAUUGAGACUCCAGAUAGGAAAUAGCUCAAAGUGUCUCUGACUUUGAGAUAGUGUACCAUGUCCCCUGCCUCUAGCAAGUCCUUAGCUAGGGAGUGUGUUCUCAGCCUUUAGGUGCCCAGGGCUCUAUCCCCACACUCAUUCUGAACCUCACAUCUUCACUCUCCCCAAGAGCCAUGGCCCCACCUCCCAUGAAAAAGCUUUAUUUGUUCUCAUUAUUAUAAAAUUAUAUGUAUAUCUGUAUACUAGACCAGUGCUUCCCUGGUGGCUCAGAUGGUAAAGAAUCUGCCUGCAAUGCAGGAGACCCAGUUUUGUCCCUUGGUCAGGAAGAUCCUCUGGAGAAGGGAAUGGCUACCCCUCUCCAGUAUUCUUGCCUAGAGAAUUCCAUGGACAGAGGAGCCUGGCAGGCUAUAGUCCACGAGCUUAAAAAGAGUCAGACACACCUGAGCAACUAACAUGUGCCCACAUACUAGAUUAGAAUGUAUAAUGAAGAUAGUAACAAUCACUUAAACCCCUCCUGACCAGAGGUCACUACUGUCAGCAUUUGGGAUGUUAACUUUUGACAAUCUUGGAAAAGAAAAGAAGUUUAUAUUUAUACCUUUUCAUUGCCAGUGUUCUGGUAAGGAAAGGAAAAGAAAGAAAUAUACUAUAUGAUUCUAUCUACAUGAAGUUCAUAACUGGGUAUAGGAUUCAGAAGAGUGAUUGCCUCUGGGAGAAGGUUCACUGAAAGGGGAACAAGGGAACUUUCUGGGAUCCUAGAAAUGUUCUAUAUCUUGAUUUGGGCCAUGGUAACACAGACACAUUCAGCUGCCAAAACUCACCAACCUUAAGACCUGUGUAUUUUACUGUAAAUUUUUAUGCCUCAAUAAAGAAAAAGAAAGGAAAGCAUCCUGGAAAAAUACUAUAGCAAAAGACCAAACUAGGAAUAUGGGGAAGGAGAAAAAGAAAGCAAGAGAUGCUGAGCUAAGACAAGGCAAAUACGAUGUCUGGAACUAAAUAGAAGAGAGUAGCAGGGUUGGGUACCCACCUCCCAGUGCACCAACCCUCAGCACUGCUUCCCUCUGCAGGACAGCAGUUAAGUCCAAAAGGCCUUAAAAAGGGAAUGUAAUCUGAAGAUCCAGCUGGGCCCACCAUCUACCAAACUCUCCCUCUUUGAUGCUGUUACUCUUUUAUAUUUGCAAUGAGGCAUUGCAUUUCCUGAUAGAGGCAGGGGAUGGAGGUGAAGGGGUGGGAGGGAUUUAUUUGGAUUUUCGGUAUUUUUAAAGGGGGGUAAAGUGGUGAGGAUGUGUGUAUGUGUGUGUCCCUUGGAGCCUAAUAAGAAUCUGUGCUGGAGUCAGAAAGGGAGAUUGAAGGUCUUAACUUUCGAAUAGAUUAUUUCCAAAAGUUUCUUUCUUAAUCACUAUCUAGGACUCAAUAUGUUUGUACCUCAUAGAAACGAUGUUAUAAAUGAUGGUCAAAGUUCCAAGUUUCUCCUCCCCCAAAGUCUAUUAAGUGAACUGUUCAUAAGAUAUAGAAUUUUACACUUGGUAGAAACAUCAUUAUAGUGGUUGUGCGCCCUGUAAAAAAAUAAAAUAGGAAGAAAGCAAAAUUCUUUUCUUUUUCCAGAAACAUAUCUUGCUGUCUUCAAGGCACUAUGUUGACAUCUUACAGGUGUUUGGAUAGAGGUUGUCAUCAUUUUUAAAAAACAGAAAAAUAGAAGUGAAUGUUAACUGACAAGGGAAAACACAUUUCAAAGCAGGCAGAGUUGACGGGAUAAGGAAUUAGAUGAAGACUUAUGGAGAGACUGUAAGGGGUCCUGGGGCACUUUGAAGGUUGAGUGGCCCUAAAUCUGUUUCUACUUCAAAAUAUAUGUCUUCCCUUUUCACUGCUACCAGAGCAUUAUAGUUUGACUUCUCAGUCAUGAUUGGGGUUGGCUGGUUGUCCUUUACUUUUAAAUAACUUGGAGAGAGUAGAGGAGGGUAAGACUUAAAAUUCUAAAGAGAAAAGGAAAGGAGAUUUAGAAGGUAUGUAAGCCUAGAAGGAUUGUCAGAGGUAGAUUUGAGCCAGUAGUGAUGGAGGAAAAAGCAUAACCGGAAGCAGUGGGGAAGAAAGAAAAGGCGAUUUCCCCACCAGCCACCAGGUGGCGAAGUUGGCUCAGGACAGCUUGGUGGCCAUCUUGAAAGCAGAGUGGGCUAGGAAGCCCUGUGCUCUCACAAGGAUGGGACCACUUCACAUUUAUAGUAUCAGGGGAUCAUUUAUUCAUUUAACCAAUAUUGUACACUUACUAUUUAUAAGGAAAUUUACAAUUGACUUGCAAUUAACAGGGUUAAAAAAUUUAGUGAAUUAUGAUCCUUGCCUUCAAGGGCUAGUUGGAGAACUAGAAAAUUUAAUGUGCUCAGACAUGAAAUUUCCUGUUUUCCCCCCAUCAGUAAGUUGGGGGUAAUAACAAUGCAAGCUUUACUGACCUCACACAACUGUUCUAAGGCUAGAAUAUGAUGAAAGUGAAAGUGAAAGUUGCUCAGUGGUGUCUGACUCUUUGCAACCCCAUGGACUAUACAGUCCAUGGAAUUCUCUAAGCCAAAAUACUGGAGUCCCAGCCCAGGGAUCAAACCCAGGUCUCCCACAUUGCAGGCAGGUUCUUUAUCAGCUGAGCCACAAGGGAAGCCCAAGAAUACUGGAGUGGGUAGCCUAUCCCUUCUCCAAGGGAUCUUCCCAACCCAGGAAUCAAACCAGGGCCUCCUGCAUUGUAAGAGGAUUCUUUACCAACUGAGUUAUCAGGGAAGCCCUAGAAUAUGAUUAGGGAGUAAAAAUGCCUUUGUAAAGUACACGUUAGGCAAUUAAUUGUGAAAAUGAUUUUCAGCUGCGUCCUCCCUUUAUGGUAAUUAUUCAUUCAACAGAUGUUUAUUGUGCACUUAGGCUGAGCAGGCACUGUUGUGGGCACUGGGAACAUAGCAGUGAAGAAAACAGACAAAAUCUCUGACAUCCCUUAGUAGGACCUUCUGCUGACAUGAAUAAGGCUCAUCAGUCAUGCGUCGUGAGAGAGGCAGAAAGCUUACAGCUAAAAUGAGCAUAUAUAUAUACUGUUUAGAACAUUGAAAAAUCAGAAACAAUCCAAGUAUCCUUUAAUAUGGGACAGGUUUUUUUUUAAAUUAUGAUGCUGCCAUACUACAGAAAACUGUAUAACUAUUUCAGCAUUGUUUAUGGAAAAAUCCGGUCCUUCUUCACUAAUAAGAAAUACAAUCUUUGUCAUAUAUGGAUUCCCAAAGAUACAUUUUAUUUCAUUCAUCUGUCUUCUUCUAUCCUAUUUUCUAUUUUAUCCAUUUAUCUAUCUGAUAUUCCUACAACAUUGCCAUAAGCUUCCCUGGUGGCUGAGCAAAGAAUCCCCCUGCAAUGCAGGAGACCUGGCUUCAAUCCCUGCACUGGGAAGACCCCUUGGAGAAGGGCAUGGCAACCCACUCCAGUAUUCUUGCUUGGAGAAUCCCCAUGGACAGAGGAGCUUGGUGGGCUAUAGUCUAUGGGGUCGCAAAGGGUCAGACAUGACUGAAUGACUAACAGGCACAGCACAACAUUAUCGUACUGCUUAAUUACUCUGACUUUGUAAUAGCUUUUAAAAUCCAAUAAAGCAAUCCUCUUCUUUUUCUUCUUUUAUAAAAAAUGUCUAUUCUCAUGUGUAUGGCUUAGAUAAAAUUUAAAAUCAACUUGUCUGUUCUUUUAAUCAGAAAUUUUAUUGAAAUUGCAUAAGAAUUAUAAACUAAUUCGAGGAAGAACUGAAAUCUUCACAAUAUUUAGCAAUCCCAAGCAGAGGAGUAAUUUAUUUGAUGUACUUCAGUAUGUUUCUAAACAGGUCUUAGAUAUUUCUUAUGAAUAAGUCAUUGUAUUUUCAGUUUUGUGGGAGAUUUAUGCUUUGUUUUCUUUUUGCUAUGGUGAAUGGAAUAAUUUUCAUUUUAUAUUUUUAACCUGUUACUACUAUUAUAUGAGAAAACUAGCUUGUGUCUGGGAAUCCUUGCAAAGUCUCUUAUUGUUUCUAUUAAGUAAUCAGCUGGGUCUCUUGGAUUUUCCAUUUAAUAACGGCUUUAUUUAUUACCAAAAUAAAGCAUGUCUCUUGUAGAAAAUGAAAACAUACAAAAGGAAAGAAACAAGCAAUAUCUGUAAAAUCUACCCUUCAGAUGUAGUCAUUCUUUACCUUGUGAUGAAUGCCCUUCAAAAAACUACAUGUAAUAUGCACAUAUAUAUUUAAAAUAGUAUCAUAAUAUAUAUAACAUUAUACAUAUAUCUACUGAUGUAAACAGACAUAUAUACCUAAGAAUUAAGUAGACAUUUGUCUAUAGAGUCUUACAAGUAGCAUCAUAAUACGCAUAUUGUUUUCUAACCCACUUCUCCUACUUAAUAAAAUUUCACAUUAUAGUUCUAAACUAUCAUUCUAAUGGCUCCAUUAGGUGUAUGAAUUUAUUUAAGCAGUCCCCUAUCUUUGAACACUUAGAGUCCAUUUUUUAAUAUUAUAAAUCUACAGUGAACGUCUUAUGACAUAAAUCUUUGUGAAUAUUCAUGAUUAUUUCUUUAACAGAAAUUUCUAGAAAUGGACUUUCUGUAUCCAAAGGCAUGCAGAAAUCUAAGGUUUCUGUGAUGAAGUGGACAAAUUGCCCUCUAGAAAGCUUAUUCUCCCGCCUCCACUUUUUCAUACAUAUUUCUUCUUCAUGUUUCCCUUUCAUCAGUGAACAUUAUACCAUAUGGAUUUCUUAAGUUCUUAAAUGGACUUGUACCAUUAUUUUAAUAGUAGCAGAGUAUUCUGUCAGCCACCAACCCUCACUGGAACUUUUGCAGUUAUUUCUGUUUUCUGGGAUAACCCAAAAUUCCUGACUUCCAGAAAGUUUCUGACCUCUAGCAGCUUUGUUCAAUGAUGGGGAGCCUCAGUUUAGGGUUCCAAAUUCUCAAGUAGAAAUAAAAUGGUUAAUUCAGCUUUGAUCUUGUUUCCUCUGUGUAGCAGGAAGGUGGCCAGGAUGCUCCUGAAAUGUUAAGUAUUCUAAGAGUUUGCUGCCUACAAGGAGCAGAAGAUCCAUUUAUGGUUUACAUAAAAACACCCCUUCACUGUCAUUUUUUUUAUCAGUAGGAAAAGGUGUCAUAUUUCUCCCCAUCAGGUGUUUGUGUGGCAAGAAAUGCCUAAUUCAGAAACCCUUCCAGCAAGGGGGACACAUUUUCUAAGCAGCAAAUGACUACAAACACGUCUGCAUUGACAAGUCACAACUUAUAUCCUUCUAUGGUGUUUCUGCUCUUUUGAAAAUGUUAAUAAAAACUUAAUGUGGAAAAAAAACAACUUUUUCCAAAUAUGUGUACCAAUGAGCCUGAGGCAGCUCAUACUUUCUUAUAAAAUAAAGUAGGUCACUCACAUCAAUCAUGUUGUCUUAGCACAUUUUUUCCAAAUUAGGAAUUCUCAAUCCAUCAUACCAUGUUAUGGCAUCCCUUUUCCAAACAUUUCCUUUUAAUAUGCUCUUUAACAUGAUAAGCAAAUCUAAUAGAAUACAUUAGUGUCACUUUCCAGUGAUGGAGUGUUUCCUCCUGUUUCGAUCCAUGAGUUCAGGGAAAGAUUUUCACUGGUUCACUCUCUAACAGCAAUUGCUUAUUGAAAAUAUGACAAUCCCCACAGAGUGGCCAAGGCCACACUGGGUGUUGGCCUUAGAAAGAUCACAGGCUUCCCUCUCCUCACCUCGCCAUGUGCCAUAGAUGUAGAAAACUCAAAAGAUGUGUGUGUCCCAAAGCAAAACAGUAAAUCCAGAUUCUGUACGUGAGGAAUGUUUAAAUUUAGCCCAUCGGUUCAGUAGAGUUGCACACGCACACAUACUAUCCCAUAUAGAUCAAAAGCUUGUACUGGGCUUCAUUUUAAAACCACAUUGCUCGCAGAACAUUUCCAAAUCUCCUGAAUCAUGCAGAAAGGGAGGAUCCUUGGCUUAAUGUGUGUGAGAUUCUCCAAAACCGGUUACCAUCUUCUUGCAAGUGAUUGGACCCCAUGUGGGAUGCACACUCUGUUUACAACCCACUUGAGAUAAAUACAUUUGCAUGUUUCUGUAUUUGACAACAUUUACCUAGCAAAAGCAGAGUCUUUGUUUCCACUUGUAUCUCUGGUUCUCAGACUCAUGUGCUCAGUGUUAGCACUUGACUUUCUUUGGAGAUUUUUUAUUUGGACAGAGUUUUGAAAUAAAACAUUUGUGAAAGAUGGGAAGCGGAGAGAGUUGAGGGUGCCCAGGAAUUUUGUUCCGGGCUUUUGGCCACCCAACAGGAAGACAUCUGAAUGGAAAAGGGAAAGUUCCCUUUGUUUUCUGGACCUCUCAUUGGGACACAUGGGGGUCUCGCAGACACUGGUUUCAAUUGCCCAUUCCAUAAGUCACAUGACUUCAUCCUCCAGUCUUGGGAAAGAAGACUUGCCCAGAGCAGAUGACUUGAGGCUGUGUGUGUUCAGGAAAUGUCAUUCAGUUCAGUUCAGUCACUCAGUCGUGUCCAGCUCUUUGCAACCCCAUGAACUGCAGCACGCCAGGCCUCCCUGUCCAUCACCAACUCCCAGAGUCCAUCCAAAUCCAUGUCCAUUGAGUCGGUGAUGCCAUCCAGCCAUCUCAUCCUCUGUCAUCCCCUUCUCCUCCUGCCCCCAAUCCCUCCCAACAUCAGGGUCUUUCCAAACGAGUCAGCUCUUUGCAUCAGGUGCCAAAGUAUUGGAGUUUCAGCUUCAACAUCAGUCCCACCAAUGAACACUCAGGACUGAUCUCCUUUAGGAUGGACUGGUUGGGACUCCUUGCAGUCCAAGGGACUCUCAAGAGUCUUCUCCAAGACCACAGCUCAAAAGCAUCAAUUCUUCGGCGCUCAGCUUUCUUUAUAGUCCAACUCUCACAUCCAUACAUGACCACUGGAAAAACCAUAGCCUUAACUAGAUGGACUUUUAUUGACAAAGUAAUGUCUCUGCCUUUCAAUAUACUAUUUAGGUUGGUCAUAACUUUCCUUCCAAGGAAUAAGCGUCUUUUAAUUUCAUGACAUUAACUCAUCACAAAAAGGACUUUGCUGGGGGCAGUGAAGGACACGAAAAUGAAGCAUAGCUCCUGCCCUUAAGGAGUUUGAAGUCAAGCUUGACAUGAAGUAGAACAUGACAAGGAAAAGCAAAAACAUUCAGGGAGUUCAGAGAAGGCAGAGGUCACUGCCAGGUGAGGAGGGGUGUAAGAAAAGAUGGAGAAGAUGAUCUUGGAACCAGGUCCAGCUGGUGAGCACGCUUUGGACCUACACAGAGGAAGGAGGAAGGGAAUUCUAGGUUGAAAACACAGUGAGAGUCACAGGACAGGUGUGAGAAACCAUGCAGGGAAGUGUGGAGGCAUGACAGACAAUUCAGGACCCGCGGAACACAGUUGGUGUAAAGAGAAGCACGAUUGGGGAAGAGAGAUUGACACAAGCGUGUGAGGAGUCGAGUGCCAGCGUAAGGAGUGAAGUCUCCAGGGAAUGCUCCCCCUUCAUGUCCCCAAAAUUGUUCUCAUCACAUCACCACAUUUGUCUGAAAUAGGGAGAAUAUAUGUAUGUAUAUUGGAGAAGGCCCUGGCACCCCACUCCAGUUCUCUUGCUUAGAAAAUCCCAUGGAUGGAGGAACCUGGUGGGCUGCAGUCCAUGGGGUCGCUAAGAGUCGGACACAACUGAGCGACUUCACUUUCAUGCACUGGAGAAGGAAAUGGCAAUCCACUCCAGUGUUCUUGCCUGGAGAAUCCCAGGAACAGGGGAGCCUGGUGGGCUGCCGUCUAUGGGGUCGCACAGAGUUGGAGACGACUGAAGUGACUUAGCAGCACCAGCAUGUAUAUAUAUAUAUACAUAUAUAUAUAUUUUUUUUUAAAUAAAAAAAGAACCAGGGAGAACAUUAGGGUGACAUUUGAACCCCCUCAGUCUUCUAUCUCUUUACACUUCUCCUUCUAUACAUAAGAAAAUGCCAUGGCAAAUUCAAGUGUUUCACAUUGCUGAGCUUUGGAGCACCAUCCUGGAAAUUCCUGCUAGCCUCAAAACCAUUGCUCACAGAGGUUUAAGAUUCUCCCAAGUUUCAGUAUUUUCUAUGAACUGAUUACAUUUGGAGAAGCUGCCCCAUCCAUGGACCAAGAAGGGACUGUGCAAUGCAAGGCUUGAGGUGCUUUGGGAAAUCCAUCAGUUUGUUCACCAAAUCUUUAUCAAGCGACUACCACGUUCCUUCCCAUUGCUCUACAUGCUGGGGACAAGGUGUGUAAACAAGAGAGAUAGGGUCCCCGUCUUCAUGGGCUUUACUUUCUGGUAGCACAGACAAAAAGUCAUCAAGAUCAUUUCAGAGUUUCAAGAGAAACAAAGGAAAGACGCUAAGUUACAUAAUAAAGAGUGAUGGAAGGCGAGAGAAGGACAACCACAUCCGAGAAGGUGGUCAGGGAAGACUUGAAGGAUGGAGGCCAAGAAGGAGCCAGCUAGAUGAACCGUGGCCAGGGGAGAAACACGGUGAGCAGAGACAGGGCAAGUGCAAGAGCGUGGGGAGCUGGAAGAAGCUAGCAAGUGGGAGGGAGAGGGUGAGCAGAUGGCGCUGGAGCCAGGCGGGAGCCCAUUUUGGAUUUGAGGUGCCAUGGGAAGUUCCUGCAGGGUUUUUGGGGAGGGGCAACUGAGCUAUGGAGGUUGGGGUCCCCACUUGAGAGGCGCCAUUCACCACCAUCUGCUGCGGCCUCGCCCUUGCUGACUUUCCCUACAAAGUCAAAAUGAGUGCUCGGAGUGCAUCAGCUUUUAUUUUUACAGCAAUCUUUGUACCCAAACCACCGUAGCAUUUUUAAUAACAAACUGGCAGGGAGUCAGACAUCUGUACUUGAAAAAAACAGCCCAAGCCAAGUAUUUCUAAAUGUUUUAUAUUUACUUGUAACAUUAGAAUAACCAUGAGGUUGCUUUUUGCAUAAUCGGAACCAUUCUCAUUAGGGUUCGACAGAUCUCAUCCUUCGUGGGUUUGGGUGGUGGUUUUCAUUACGGCAGUGACAUUGAUCUGACGAGAGUGAAUCUCUCCUUGAACGUUUGUGGAUGAAAGGGGGAAGAAGUUGAGAGAAGCCAGGGCAGGCUAGGAAAAUAAGAACUCUGUAAAGAUAGCCAUCAGCUUGGCACUGGAGUGCCAUGAAAAGAGCCCAGCUCUCCAAGUUCAGCAAAAGUGUCCUAGAAGUUCAGCUGGGGGACCUUGAGUGAGUCACUUAACCUCCCUGAGCUUCUGCCUACUCAGCAAAAUGAGGAUGAUAAUAAAAACUACUUCAUGGAGUUGCAGUGAGAUCUAAAUGAAAUAACAUCAGUAAAGAGACUUGGCACAAAGUUGCUUUCUGCUUGCCUACCUCCAAAAUCUGUACUUAACAUCCAAGAUUGAGAUACUACCCCUCAUCCUUUUUUCUACAGUAGGUUUGCAAGAGUUAUCAAACAAAAAUACAGCAUACCCAGUGAAAUUUGAAUUUUAGGUAAGCAACAAAUAAUUAUUUAGCAUAAAUAUGUCUCAGACCAUACUUGGGAUAUACUUACACAAGGCAUCCUGUAUUUUAUCAGGAAACCCUAUUCUAAAGGUUUACUAAUCCUAAGAAAGAGGGGUUUAAAAAUUUUAUAUUUAAUUGAAGAAUAAUUGCCUUACAAUAUUGGUUUGCUUUGUGCAUACAUCAACAUGAAGUAGCCAAGGUAUACAUAGAUGCCCUCCCUCUUGAACCUCCUUCCCAUCUCGCACCCUUUUCCCUCUAGGUUGUUACAGAGCCCCAGUGUGAGUUCCCUGAGUCAUACAGCAAAUUUCCACUGGCUAUGUAGUUUAUAUAUGGUAGUGUAUAUGCGUUCUCACAAUUCUCUCCAUUCAUCUCACCAGAAAGAGGGUUUUUGAGACCCAGUUGGGUCCUGGUAUUCUACCUGGGCACCUGUGUCAGAGGCAGUUUGAUAUCCUUGUUAAGACUGUGUCUUUCUUACUCACUGAAUUCCCAGUGCCCAGAACAGAACAGGGCAUCUAGUAGGUGCUCAAUAAAAAUGUAUUGCAUAAGCAGCUAAGAGCCUGUAAGACCUUGUUAUAAGUCCAUCAGAUGGGGAGGCAUAUAUAUUUUAAACAUGCAUCUCCUUUAUUUGAGGUUCACAUGAAGACAGACCCACUGACCACCGCAGCCCUCACUCCCACCCCCAGAAUCAAGCUGGAAUUGAAAAGCAGUGUGACUACCAUGUGGGCAGUCAGAUCUGUGCAGUUUAUACCACAGACCCUGCCCUGAACUCCCCCCAAUCCAUCACUCCCCCAAAACAACAGGGGUUGCAAGAGUAUUUUAUGCCAACUCAUUCCAUACCUCAUUAAUUUUAUUAAAGGAGACAAAACGUCCACAUUCAGAGUCCGCUUAUCUUUCUUCCCCUUCCAUCUGGGAAGCAGGACACCUCUGGGGCUGGGACAGGGGAAUGGCAGGGUCUGGUGCUGGGAGAAGCUGCUCCGCCAGUAGAAGGUAAAGAAGUCUGUUGUGGUCCCUUCUGAGCUUCCUAGGCCUGCCCAUGUCUACAUUUCUCCAGAAGUUGUGAUUACAGAAGAUUUCCCCAGGAAUCCAGGCUGGGCUUGUAAAGAAGUGAUCCCAACAUCAAGAAAAGAACCCGGCCAGUAAAUUCCUAGUUAGUUCAUUUUCUAAGACUUCGGAAUGUGUUUUGAAUUUUCUCUAAAUUAAGAUAAUCAUAAAAGGUUAAGAUAUUUAAACAGAGCUCCACCUGAUCCCAGGGCUUGAUGUGUAUGCUUAAUUGGUUCCCGAACAUAUGGUUCAGAGCUUCUUAUAAAAACAGGGUAAUGACUGGCGGUAUAGUUGGGUAUUAGAUUGAAUGAUGUUAAAGGGACAUUCAGACCCAUCUCAAAGGCCUUAACCUGCCCUUGAUCUGUGCUGGAAGUUUUUGCUGACAUCUGUUUCAAAGAGAUAUCAAAAAAAAACUUUCCAUUGGCCCCCCCGAUAAAACUAAAAUGCACACGGAGAUAGAUAUCAGGCAUUAAAAUACUUAGGAUUCAACAGUGCCUGAGGAAUGUGUGGGCCCAGAUUAUAACCUUUGGGGUGGAGGGGUAGGUGAGGAGGGUCGUUGCCUCCUACAAAGUCAGAAAAGGCGACUCUGAGAACGCAAGGCCUCGGCUCCGGCUCCACACGGAGAGGGAGCAGCUGGGUCACAAAGGUCCCCUGGGCCCUUUGUUCCUUCCGUGUGUUUCAGCCCCUGAUAAUAAAUCGGGUGCUCCUAU